AGUGAACGCUGGCGGUAGGCCUAACACAUGCAAGUCGAACGACAGCACAGUAAGAGCUUGCUCUUACGGGUGGCGAGUGGCGGACGGGUGAGGAAUACAUCGGAAUCUACUUUUUCGUGGGGGAUAACGUAGGGAAACUUACGCUAAUACCGCAUACGACCUACGGGUGAAAGCAGGGGAUCUUCGGACCUUGCGCGAUUGAAUGAGCCGAUGUCGGAUUAGCUAGUUGGCGGGGUAAAGGCCCACCAAGGCGACGAUCCGUAGCUGGUCUGAGAGGAUGAUCAGCCACACUGGAACUGAGACACGGUCCAGACUCCUACGGGAGGCAGCAGUGGGGAAUAUUGGACAAUGGGCGCAAGCCUGAUCCAGCCAUACCGCGUGGGUGAAGAAGGCCUUCGGGCUGUAAAGCCCUUUUGUUGGGAAAGAAAAGCAGCAGGUUAAUACCCCGCUGUUCUGACGGUACCCAAAGAAUAAGCACCGGCUAACUUCGUG
rnacentral:rRNA from 1 species